rnacentral:rRNA from 1 species
CACCGCCCGUCAAGCGAUGGAAGCCAGGGGCACCCGAAGAUGGUUGCUCAACUCGCAAGGGGAGCGUCAUCGAAGGUGAAACUGGUAACUGGCGCU